rnacentral:rRNA from 1 species
CGGUGNGNGUAACGGCUCACCAAAGCAACGAUCAGUAGCUGGUCUGAGAGGACGACCAGCCACACUGGGACUGAGACACGGCCCAGACUCCUACGGGAGGCAGCAG